CCUACGGGUGGCAUGGGGACGUUCGCGCCUUCGGGGAAAUACACGAAAGAGAUACAGUUAGAGGUCGAGCGGGAGAUCAUUCUUCCCUCGAUGCAUGCGCUAAACAGCGAAGGCCGCCCCUUUAAGGGCAUUAUAUUCUUCGGGCUGAUGCUUACCAAGGACGGGCCAAAACUGCUUGAGUACAACGCGCGCUUCGGAGACCCCGAGGCACAGAGCGUAUUGUUUUUAUUGAAAACAGAUCUGCUUUCCGUGCUGGAGGCUGUGGCGGAUGAGCGGCUUUCGGAGAUCGAGCUGGAAUGGGAAGAAGAUGCAUCCGCCGUCUGCGUCGUUAUGGCUUCGGGCAGAUACCCCAGUAGUC
rnacentral:rRNA from 1 species